CCAAAUGUGAGCUAGUGUGCUAAUUUGGAAUAGCUGGGAUCACCAGAAAAGAGGACGUCACAAUCACCCAUGAGCUCUUCCCUAUGAUCCUCCGCUGGUAUUUAUGAGAAAGACUCAGAGAAGACCAGGAGAUUGAGAGGGUACUCGUAUUUGGUGCAGGCAUGAAGGAAGUAAUUGGCAGCAGCUAGGGGAUGGGCAUAAAGCCCUGGCCUUAAGCAAGAGCCUUACAUCAAUGGAAGAAGGGCCGGUACUGUUCUCCUUCCCCAGGAAGUGAGAAAAAAUCUACUGCUGCAAAGGGAGGAGGUGGAAGAAUAAGACCUCUACCCCUAGGGAAGGGGCAGGAAGCUGUCUUGGACCCAGGAUAUAUGCUGAUAUCAAGCAGAAAUCUGCUACUAUCAUAAGUAGGGCAGGCAACUCCCACCCAAGACCAACCACGGAUACAAGGCAGAGUGUGGUUGCCACAGGAAGGAGGAGCAGGAACUCUGGAAAGGCUCUCUCCAAGUUCCAGGUACUUGACAAAGACAAAGGCUGGACCCGGAAAACAGUCUCACUACUGCCCUACCCCAAGAAACAACAGUAAAAACAGCAGGCUGCAGCUGGUGGAGGGACACCCUGGUAAUUACUGGCUAACAGAGAUGGCUGAGAGCACAUCAGGAAGCAGGAACACUGAGGAAAAACCCUCUUGCAACUCAGCCCCCACCCUAAGCACAAGGCAACAAAGAAUUUGAAGUCUGUGUUACAUUGAAGUGUUCAGAUGUGUCCGGAGUUUUUUCCUUGCGGUGGGUUCGUGGUCUCGCUGACUUUAGGAGUGAAGCCGCAGACCUUGUUACAGCUCUUUAAGGUGGCACGUCUGGAGUUGUUUGUUCCUCCUGGUGGGUUCGUGGUCUCGCUGGCUUCAGGAAUGAAG
rnacentral:lncRNA from 1 species